AUCCUUUUGUAGUUUGUAAGCAUGAUAAUUGGGUUUUCACAUACAUGUCUGAGAAGUGCCUCUCAAACCUUGUUACGUGAGCACAUUACCUGUCUUACA